rnacentral:rRNA from 1 species
UACGGAAGGCAGCAGUGGGGAAUCUUAGACAAUGGGGCAACCCUGAUCUAGCCAUGCCGCGUGAGUGAUGAAGGCCUUAGGGUUGUAAAGCUCUUUCAGCUGGGAAGAUAAUGACGGUACCAGCAGAAGAAGCCCCGGCUAACUCCGUGCCAGCAGCCGCGGUAAUACGGAGGGGCUAGCGUUGUUCGGAAUUACUGGGCGUAAAGCGCACGUAGGCGGACUGGAAAGUCAGAGGUGAAAUCCCCAGGGCUCAACCUUGGAACUGCCUUUUGAAACUAUCAGUCUGGAGUUCGAGAGAGGUGAGUGGAAUUCCGAGUGUAGAGGUGAAAUUCGUAGAUAUUCGGAGGAACACCAGUGGCGAAGGCGGCUCACUGGCUCGAUACUGACGCUGAGGUGCGAAAGCGUGGGGAGCAAACAGGGAUUAGAUACC